rnacentral:rRNA from 1 species
CAGUAGCCGCGGUAAUACGAAGGGGGCUAGCGUUGCUCGGAAUUACUGGGCGUAAAGGGCGCGUAGGCGGACAGUUCAGUCGGGGGUGAAAGCCCGGGGCUCAACCCCGGAACUGCCUUCGAUACUGGCUGUCUUGAGUACGGGAGAGGUGUGUGGAACUCCGAGUGUAGAGGUGAAAUUCGUAGAUAUUCGGAAGAACACCAGUGGCGAAGGCGGCCAUCUGGGACAACACUGACGCUGAGGCACGAAAGCGUGGGGAGCAAACAGGAUUAGAUACCCCUGUAGUCCCUGUCUCUUAUAC